rnacentral:rRNA from 1 species
CCUGAACGCUGGCGGCGUGGCUAAGACAUGCAAGUCGUACGGUGUAGCAAUACACAGUGGCGAACGGGAGAGUAAUGAAUCGCUAAUGUGCCCCGGACUUUGGGAUAGCUGACCGAAAGGUCAGGUAAUACCAGAUGACAUACCUUUAUCGCAUGAUAAGGGUCUCAAAGGUCCGCCGGUCUGGGAGCAGGCGAUUUCGUAUCAGCUAGUUGGUAGGGUAACGGCCUACCAAGGCGACGACGCGUAGCCGGACUGAGAGGUUGGCCGGCCUCAUUGGGACUGAGACACUGCCCAGACUCCUACGGGGGGCUGCAGUAACGAAUCUUCCGCAAUG